UAUCAUAGAUAUAAGAUAUCACUUAUGUUUUUCUAGGUUUUUCUGCCGGUGCCCAAUUAUUUGUGGCAAUCAGGUCAAGAGCAGCGCAACCUAGACUGACGACAGAUUUUUGUCAUGAGAAAUAAUCCAGCAACAACUGAAUAAUUCCUGCAACUUUUCUGAUAAAUGAGAAUCUCCAGAACAUGCAGUUCCUCGCUGUAGUAGUUUAUAUCCACCAGCCUCCCACAAAUAAUUGGGCACCGGCAGCAAAACCUAGACCACCAAGUCUGAAUUUUUGCGAUGUCGUCAUGAAAGCCAAAACAGUGACCUUCAGUUCACACGUGGCCAUGGAUGGAUGAGCUGAGUUAUUCAGCCAGUAGGCAUGGAUGGAUGCAUCUCUGCCUUUCAUCUCCUACCACCGGAACCUAACACGCAUCACGCAUGCAUGCCUGGUGCUGCCUUGAUUCUUAUCUGAAAGCGAUGCCUGCCUACCAUAGCAAAGCAACGUUGUUCUCAGUUGCCUAAUCAUUCAAGUACACACGGUGGACCUUCAGAACUGUUACUACCAAGUCAUUCUUAGCUAUAGCUGAUUUGCAGUCAAGCAGUGUCACUUCAAAUCUUUGAUGAACUCAAGAAUCAUUGGGCUGUGUGAUGUACGAGUAGCCUAUUCAUUGGGUUUCCUCUGCAGAAUUAUCAUGGUUCACAUGUUUAAUUCACAACUUGUCUGUUCAAAAAAUAAUUCACAACAUGUGAAGGAGAAAUAAAUAAUAAAAAGAUAUGGGAGAAAUUUCAGGAAAGUGACCACCACAUCUUUCAUUAUUUGCCAAUGAUGCAUGCACCUUGUGCCUUCAUGGAUUUACAGGCACUGCAUCUGCAGAUCUCCACCCAUGAAAGAUCACCGACCUGUCAACCAUACAGUAUCUCUGGAUGGGGACCCAUUACUCCUGCUUCUAGAAGCCCCUUAGAUUGUGGCAGGCCUGCAGGCUGCAGAUCUGGAUGCCAAUGCCAUCAUAUCGUUAGAUUUUAGGCUAUGGUAAGUGACUUAAAAUAUUCUCAGGAAACUAGGAGUAUCUACAGAAGGGAUGUGCACUUCAGAAAGAUGUUAAAGCGCCAAGAUGUUGGGAAGGGGCCCCUUAUGUCCAUCCAGUUCAUUUUGAAGCCAAAGUUUGGUUAAAACAUAUGCAACUGAACUAACCUAUGCAACUACCUUGGCACUGCCUUCAUGUGCUAGUGCUACUACAUUUGAGCACAAACCAAACAUGCCAAAAGUAUCCUAUGUAGAAGAUGACCAUCUUUGUUUUGGUUCAAGCUAGUGAUGAAACAAUAGUAUAUCCCUUUGUGUAUCAUUGGGCUUCCAACUGAACAAAUUGGAAUUUUGUGUGAGAAAAGCAUCAGUGGGUACCUCCCCCCCAAUAGCUGGCAAUUUGCAAGUUUGCAUGGUUGGUAUC